UUGUCCACAGGUGGGUUGGCGUCACUGCUGCAGGUCAGAGUCACUGAACUGCCCUCCACUAUUUCACCAGAGGGACUGACUGACACUGAGGUGUUCCUUGGGCCAUCUGGAUAACAGACAAAGUAAUAAAUGUGCUGUCUUGACUGUGUGUCAGAGGACUACAAAAGCGGUGACACCCCCCAACAGCCCCAUUCUAUCCAAGCUUCCUGUUCCCUAUUAAGGCUUGUGUUUGAAGCGACACUUGUCACCAUAGAAACAGCCGGUGGUCCUCCAGAAGAAACACUCUUCACCAUUGAUGGGAGCCAUCCUCCUGGUCCUGGGAGAGAGAGAGACAAACAACAGAUGGAUGUCCUUACCCUGUGGAGGCGUACUUGGAGGCUGAGGAGGUGUUGAGGCCUAUAGGGUUGGUCCUCUGAGGAGAGGGAGGGGUUCUCUGAAUCUAGCUGUCUGGGUACCUGAUCACCAGCCUGGUGCUCUCCAGCUCCACCCCCUGGAUCGGAGGACAAACAGCAGGCACAGUCCAAAUACAUGCAAUGGGACCAAUAGCAUAGUCCCACAAGUAAAAUGGAACCAAUAACAAAGCUUGUUUUUCCUUUGCUGCCAGAAAGGAGUUGAAUCGUUGUACUUUUCUCUCUGUGUUGAACGAUGGUGAUACUAUUUAAAGCUCUAAACUGAAGCUCUAAACUGAAGGCUCUUGACUCUGUAUCAUGCAGAGACGUCUAACUCACCAUUGAGAUCUCUACUGUGCUGUCAGGUGGACAUCAAUAGCAACACGCAGCCUCAAACCCUGGUCCAUUCCUAUUCAGAAGGCCAUUUAAGGAAAACUGAGGGGAGGGUAGGGGAGGUAGAGGAGAUGAAGUGAGAGAGUGAAGGGAGGAAAGGAUGGGGAGAUAGAAGGAGUGGAGAAGACAGACCGACACACACACACACACAAUCAGCAAUCUCCACGUUCACAGUAGAAUUCAACCCCAUCAGUGCACUCCCCUUGAAGAAGUAUCCCUUUGGCCAAUCAGGGGCGAGCUGGAUGGACUUCUGAGCGUCUGAUAGGGCAGAGGGGUAGAGCUCCAGACACCAGUAGCAGUAUGAACCACAUUCCCAAAGAAAUACAAGAAAUGAGAUCAAAGUAGAAAUAGUCCAUCCAGACCUUUACCACCUAGUAAAUCUGUUGGACCACUUACAUUAGAGUACUCCUGCAGUAGUCUAGGGAGCAACAUACCCAUACCACCCACACACACAAGCAAAAACACACACGCACACACACAUAUAAACACACACACACACACACGCAGGCACACACACACACACACACACACACAACGUCUGAACUACCGGGAAAGACUCUGGCAAGUUCCAGACUCAGUGUGUGUUUACGUGUGUGUGUGUGUGUGCGUGCAUGUUCGUGUGUGUGUUUGUUGAUGAACAGUGCUGAUUGUUGAUCUAUUACAGUUUAUCUCCUGACAGUAAUGGAGUAUCCCUGGCUGACCUAUAGGCUAGCCACCCAUGCAUUAUGUUGCUUAAUGGCGCCAUCAUGCGUACAAAGGCACAAAUACAAGAAACAUAAUUGAUAUAUUUGUUGUCUAUUUAUUGUCUAACUUUGAGCUUAUUUACAACAUGAUACUUGUACUGUAUUCAAUGUAAAAAAAAAAAAAAAAAAA